rnacentral:rRNA from 1 species
GACGAACGCUGGCGGCGUGCCUAAUACAUGCAAGUCGAGCGGACUUGACAGAGCUUGCUCUGUUCAAGUUAGCGGCGGACGGGUGAGUAACACGUGGGCAACCUGCCCUGCAGAUUGGGAUAACUCCGGGAAACCGGGGCUAAUACCGAAUAAUAUGGAAAACCUCAUGGUUUUCUUUUAAAAGGCGGCUUCGGCUGUCACUGCAGGAUGGGCCCGCGGCGCAUUAGCUAGUUGGUGAGGUAACGGCUCACCAAGGCGACGAUGCGUAGCCGACCUGAGAGGGUGAUCGGCCACACUGGGACUGAGACACGGCCCAGACUCCUACGGGAGGCAGCAGUAGGGAAUCUUCCGCAAUGGACGAAAGUCUGACGGAGCAACGCCGCGUGAGUGAAGAAGGUUUUCGGAUCGUAAAACUCUGUUGUUAGGGAAGAACAAGUAUCGGAGUAACUGCCGGUACCUUGACGGUACCUGACCAGAAAGCCACGGCUAACUACGUGCCAGCCGCCGCCGUAACAC